rnacentral:lncRNA from 10 species
AAAGGAAACUGAAGAAGGUCAAUCUAGAAUGAUACUUGCUGGAUGGAUUGAAAAAGUGAAGCUUUAGCAGCAAGUAGAAAAACUGAAGCAUCAGUUGCAGUAACUCAUCCAUUGAGUGAAAAGGUUCUUCCCAUGUCCCUACUCUCAGAAAUGCAUUCUGAAAUUUCGAAGAAACAAGACAUUACACAAGUACAUGGCUUCACUACCAAGGGGAAGGGCAAAAGACCAUCUUUGAUUUAAUUCCAGGCUUCAGUGUCUAAUUCUGUGGCAAAGAUAGCUCAUGAAUUCUUUGUUCCUCUGCCAAGCGCAACAGGGAUAAGUAGCCUUGCUCUGGGAAUAUGAGUUUGAUGAUUGGGUUGCAUGAACCCUGGAAGCCUGGAAUAUUCAUCUAUUUUCACAUUCUUCUGUCCCUCCUGACUGCAGCACUCCCCAAACCUACAUGGAAGAGCUAAAAUCAAUUCUGGUAAAUCUCAUCAACUUCUAGGACACUGUGGUAGAUUUCCUUCAGUUUAAUCUCUAGCAUUAACUGGAAGAAACAUUUUCUUACUCAGUCACUACAUUUGUCAAGAAAUAAUGCUAUGGUUGAACACUGCACGAAAUGAUAGAGAUUAACAGUAGCACAAUACUAGACAUUUCUUUUUUGCUAUUCUACUUAAUGCCUGAUGUAACCUCAUGAGGUGGAUGUUGUACUCCUGACUUUAGAGAUAAGAAAACUGAACUUUUGGGAGGCUAAAUAACUUACUUACAGUUACAUAGUCAAGAAAUGGAGAUGGCAAGAGUUCAGGCCUAGGUUUGUCUGAUUGCAAAUACUACAUCCUUUCUAUUGCUUCACUUUGUUUGGCUUUAAAGCUGUUAAAUGAGAAUGACCAUAAUACCCCAGAGAACUUCUGUGAGGAUUAAAUGGAUAUGCAAAAGCUCUCGACAUAAUACCUGGCUCAAGACAUCUGGGGAGGCAUUCAACUGGGACCUGCAGGAUUCGCUUUCAAUGUGGCUCACCCACAUGGCCAGGAGUGCAGACCAGGACCAGCUGUUUCUCUCCACAUGGGUUUCUUCAAGGACUUCUUGGGCUUCUUCAGAGCAUGCCAGCUGGAUUUCGUGAGUAAGCAUCUUAAGAGACAAAAAAUGGAGGCUGCCAGUUUAAUAAAGCCUGUGCCAGAAACUGGUACAGCAUCACUUCCUCCAUACUCUUUCAGUCAAGCAGUCAUAGGGCCCAGAUUCAAGGAGAAACGCAUAAUCCCUACCUUUUGAUAGAAACAAUUUUCACUUGAAAACUUUGGGGGUAUGUUUUAAAAGUAUUACAUCUCCCAAACCUCCUGGCAGUCAAUGCCAGAGCCAGGAUUUAACUGCAGGUUUAUUUGAUGACAAAGCCCAUUUUACAAAGACUAAAACAGACCUGAAGAGAAAUAUAGCAGGUUUAAGUAAUUUCCCAUGGGGAAAUGAAAACUCUGAAUCCAAAGUCCUUAAAUUAGCUACUACACUAUGGUUCACAAGAUGAAAUGCACUGGUGCAUGGCAGUGCAUUUUUAAAUUGUGAUGCUUUCUAUCAAUAAACUCUUUGUAAGUAAAAGUAAA